AAAAGGCCUACGUAGGAUUUAUAUAGGCAGAUGGCCCCCAAUUUUUGAAAAAUAAUAAGAUCGAUGACAGUAUUGAAAAUCGACAGUUUUUACUAAAAUAAACUUUAAACUACCGAACUGUGUCGUUUUUAAUAAUAACACAUUCUCAGUAUUGAUGUAAAAUGGAUUUAAAAUACGACCGGUACAGGCAUUUUGCGUUAAAAUUGCUGAAUUCGGCCAUUUCAGACUCAAAAUUCGCUUAUUAGCAACCCUUGCUUCAAGUAACAAUUUAUAACAGCUAUUUCAUUUGUUAAUUCUAUUUAAUAUUUUCCUAACCAGAAACUGAAGCAAGGGUUGCUAAUAAAUGAAUUUUGGAAAAAAUGAUAUUAUUUGUCUGGCCUUUCUCACGUAUAAGAGUGGCCUCCCUUGAAGCCAGGUGCUCGUUGCCAGGCAAUAUUAUAGGUGGCGCCGCUGUCAACAUGUGCAUGUGAAAACGAAAGUAGAUUGUUUAUCUAGGAAUUAUUACGACAUUUUACCCUUCUACGUUGAAUUUUUAAGAUAUAAAAGUAUGAAUAUUGAGAUGAUUAUUUAGUUACCUUCAACUGGUCAGUGGCCAAAAGGGAGUAUUUCUGUGUGCCUUGAAGCAUUUAAUGCCCCAAAACAACCAGUAUGAUAAGAAGACCAGAGUAUACAGCUUCCCAAAAUGUUGAAAGACUAAGCUGUUUUUCUAUGGACUUGUAUACUAUCUAGGUUGAAAACAGCCACAGACAAUGAAUUCGGAGGUGCAUGCUGGAGCAUCAGAAAUUACAUACUUGGAAUGAAUAAUUGCACAAUACACAUUUACUGAGAAGUGACUAAUGUUUAUGUUAAAGUGCAAUAUCCAUAUUUGUAACAUUUACUUGAGGGUAAUAGUUACAGUGUUGAAAGUGACUACCAGUGUUGCAUUUCAAUCUAAGUUACAGUGUGGAUGCUAAUUCUAAAUUCUUGAUAAUCAAGUGUUUUUAAUAACUUAUGAAUACUAAUUAUUUAUCAAACUGUUUAAUUUAUCACAUUCCUACAUCAUUAUUUUAUAUAAAAUGCUUGUAGUUAUAUAAUAUAU
rnacentral:lncRNA from 1 species